GGGCUUGUGGUUUAGUGGUAUAAUUUUCCCUUAGCAUCUCGUUUCAGCUAUCUGUUACAGCGUGGGAAAGGUCCUGGGUUCGAUUCCCAGCAAGUCCA